rnacentral:rRNA from 1 species
AACGAACGCUGGCGGCGUGUUUAAGACAUGCAAGUCGCACGGGAUAAGACAUGUAGUAAUACUUGUUUUAUUUAGUGGCGCACGGGUGAGUAACACGUGAAUUACAUGCCCUAUAGUGGGGAAUAGCCCAGGGAAACUUGGAUUAAUACCCCAUAGUAUCGAAAGAUUAAAGGUGGCCGCAAGGCUGUCGCUAUAGGAUUGGUUCGCGCCCUAUCAGCUUGUUGGUGAGGUAACGGCUAACCAAGGCAAUGACGGGUACCUGGUCUGAGAGGACGUUCAGGCACACUGGAACUGAGACACGGUCCAGACACCUACGGGUGGCAGCAGUCGAGAAUAAUUCACAAUGGGGGCAACCCUGAUGGUGCAACGCCGCGUGGAGGAUGACGGUCUUCGGAUUGUAAACUCCUGUCAUCUGGGAGAAAGACCUGACGGUAAAUAGCCGGCGGGGUUGAUAGUACCAGAAGAGGAAGGGACGGCUAACUUCGUGCCAGCCGCCGCCGUAA